GACGAACGCUGGCGGCGUGCUUAACACAUGCAAGUCGAACGAUGAAGCGGGUGCUUGCACUCGUGAAUUAGUGGCGAACGGGCGAGUAACACGUGAGUAACCUGUCCUUUUCUUUGGGAUAACGGCUGGAAACGGCUGCUAAUACUGGAUAUUCAGGCUGCAUCGCAUGGUGUGGUUUGGAAAGGUUUUUUCUGGGAUUGGGUGGGCUCGCGGCCUAUCAGCUUGUUGGUGGGGUGAUGGCUUACCAAGGCUUUGACGGGUAGCCGGCCUGAGAGGGUGGUCGGUCGCACUGGGACGGAGAUACGGCCCAGACUCCGACGGGAGGCAGCAGUGGGGAAUAUUGCACAAUGGACGAAAGUUUGAUGCAGCGACGCCGCGUGGAGGGUGUAGGCCUUCGGGUUGUGAACUCCUUUGUCUCGCGAAAAAGGCACAGUUUUGGCUGUGUUGAUGGUAGUGGGGGAAGAAGCGCCGGCUAACUACGUG
rnacentral:rRNA from 1 species